rnacentral:rRNA from 1 species
GGCAUCCGGAACUGUCAGGCUAGAGUGCAGGAGAGGAAGGUAGAAUUCCCGGUGUAGCGGUGAAAUGCGUAGAGAUCGGGAGGAAUACCAGUGGCGAAGGCGGCCUUCUGGACUGACACUGACACUGAGGUGCGAAAGCGUGGGUAGCAAACAGGAUUAGAUACCCUGGUAGUCCACGCCGUAAACGAUGUCGACCAGCCGUUGGGUGCCUAGAGCACUUUGUGGCGAAGUUAACGCGAUAAGUCGACCGCCUGGGGAGUACGGCCGCAAGGUUAAAACUCAAAUGAAUUGACGGGGGCCCGCACAAGCGGUGGAGCAUGUGGUUUAAUUCGAUGCAACGCGAAGAACCUUACCUACCCUUGACAUCUACAGAAGCCGGAAGAGAUUCUGGUGUGCCUUCGGGAACUGUAAGACAGGUGCUGCAUGGCUGUCGUCAGCUCGUGUUGUGAAAUGUUGGGUUAAGUCCCGUAACGAGCGCAACCCUUGUCCUUAUUUGCCAGCGAGUAAUGUCGGGAACUCUAAGGAGACUGCCGGUGACAAACCGGAGGAAGGUGGGGACGACGUCAAGUCAUCAUGGCCCUUACGGGUAGGGCUACACACGUGCUACAAUGGCCGGUACAAAGGGCUGCGAGCUCGCGAGAGUCAGCGAAUCCCUUAAAGCCGGUCUCAGUCCGGAUCGGAGUCUGCAACUCGACUCCGUGAAGUCGGAAUCGCUAGUAAUCGUGAAUCAGAAUGUCACGGUGAAUACGUUCCCGGGCCUUGUACACACCGCCCGUCACACCAUGGGAGUGGACUGCACCAGAAGUGGUUAGCCUAACGCAAGAGGGCGA